CGGCUAUUUGCCACUUUCAAUAUUGGGCUUCGCAAAACUGCCACUCUCAACAUUGGCUUCGCAAAAAUGCCAUCCAGCCCGUGUGCAUUUUGAUUAUCAUGCCAUUUCCUCUUUUCCAUUGCUUUUCUUUUUCUUUUCCCAUUUUCUGGCACCUGAAAGGACCAAAAUACCCCUAGGCUGUUUCAACCUUAUCUGAUGCGUGUGUGGUUGGGUCGGAUUGCUCUGACCUCUGAGGUGCUCGUCCUUGUCUCCGCCAUAGCCCGCCGCCGUAGCUUACUGAUGCCAGUGCGAGCCACAGCAGCUCACCGCCCUGGCUCCCCCACGCCUGCGCCAACAACCGCGGCUCGCCGCAGCCCGCCGUUGGUAGCCCAAGCCUGCGCGCGCUGGCGGAGCUCGCCGUCGCCUCGCUUAUGCCUGCUCGAGCUCUCGUAGCUCGUCGACGGUGCUCGUCCAAGUCUGCACGAGCGGGCAUAGCUCGUCCUCGCCUCUCUGAUGCCUGCGCGAGCCGCCGUAGCUCGCCGCCCAGGCCCUGCGCAAGCAACCCCAGCUCGCCCUCGCCUGCGUGCUGGCGGAGCUCGCCGCACGGCAUCCUAGACAGGUGCGCCAGCGACUUCGUGUCCCUGAACACCAGCACCAUGGCAACAUCAACUGGAGGCCCUUUUGAUGGUCCGUGAGGACGAGACGAACGCGUGUGCAGGUGCUGAAAAUGUAGAAUGCAAGCAACCUGGAGUAGAUCAGGGAUGAUGAAUGUGCUUCCCACAGAUUCCAUACGUCACAUGAGGAGCUUUGUUGAACUGGAGUCAAACGAACAAACCAAGGGAAAGGUAAAACGUAAUACCGUCCAGAAAGAUUGGGUUCCAUGUCGCCACUGCGGUACUGGGUGAUGGGCAGCACACGAAGCCGAGGAGAUCGGCGGCGCGCAACGCCGAGGAGAUUGGCGGCACGCGGCGUUGAGGCAAUCAGCGGCGUCAUGACCCAGGAGAUGGGGGCAGCGUCCAGCGAUUGACCUAAGAAGUCCUGGCGACCAAGGAUGCGGCAAGCACGGUAUUCACGGCGGGCAGCACGCACUCAUCCGCUUCAAGUGCUGAUCUGAUGCCAAAGUACGUGAAGAUAGCUACAGGGGUACUUCGGUCCUUUCAGGUGCCAGAAAAUAGAAAAUAAAAAUAAAAACAAUGAAAAAAGAAAAAAUGGCAUGGUAAUCAAAGUGCAUACGAACUGGGUGGCAUUUUUGCGAAGCCAAUGUUGAGAGUGGCAGUUUUGCGAAGCCCGAUAUUGAAAGUGGCAAAUAGCCGAUUUUCUC